rnacentral:rRNA from 1 species
GUGGAGCCAACCUUGAAAUACCACCCUUUAAUGUUUGAUGUUCUAACGUUGCCCCAUUAUCUGGGGUGCGGACAGUGUCUGGUGGGUAGUUUGACUGGGGCGGUCUCCUCCCAAAGAGUAACGGAGGAGCACGAAGGUUGGCUAAGCAUGGUCGGACAUCAUGCGGUUAGUGCAAAGGCAUAAGCCAGCUUGACUGCGAGAGUGACGGCUCGAGCAGGUACGAAAGUAGGUCUUAGUGAUCCGGUGGUUCUGAAUGGAAGGGCCAUCGCUCAACGGAUAAAAGGUACUCCGGGGAUAACAGGCUGAUACCGCCCAAGAGUUCAUAUCGACGGCGGUGUUUGGCACCUCGAUGUCGGCUCAUCACAUCCUGGGGCUGAAGUAGGUCCCAAGGGUACGGCUGUUCGCCGUUUAAAGUGGUACGCGAGCUGGGUUUAGAACGUCGUGAGACAGUUCGGUCCCUAUCUGCCGUGGGCGUUGGAAGAUUGAAAGGGGCUGCUCCUAGUACGAGAGGACCGGAGUGGACGCACCACUGGUGUUCGGGUUGUCAUGCCAAUGGCAUUGCCCGGUAGCUAAGUGCGGAAGAGAUA